GAUGAACGCUGGCGGCGUGCCUAAUACAUGCAAGUCGAGCGAACAGACGAGGAGCUUGCUCCUCUGACGUUAGCGGCGGACGGGUGAGUAACACGUGGAUAACCUACCUAUAAGACUGGGAUAACUUCGGGAAACCGGUGCUAAUACCGGAUAAUAUAUUGAACCGCAUGGUUCAAUAGUGAAAGACGGUUUUGCUGUCACUUAUAGAUGUAUCCGCGCCGCAUUAGCUAGUUGGUAAGGUAACGGCUUACCAAGGCGACGAUGCGUAGCCGACCUGAGAGGGUGAUCGGCCACACUGGAACUGAGACACGGUCCAGACUCCUACGGGAGGCAGCAGUAGGGAAUCUUCCGCAAUGGGCGAAAGCCUGACGGAGCAACGCCGCGUGAGUGAUGAAGGUCUUCGGAUCGUAAAACUCUGUUAUUAGGGAAGAACAAAUGUGUAAGUAACUAUGCACGUCUUGACGGUACCUAAUCAGAAAGCCACGGCUAACUACGUG
rnacentral:rRNA from 1 species